UGAGAUUCAACUAACUUCACUUGA
rnacentral:miRNA from 1 species